CACGUAGGCACCAAGCGUUGUCCGGAUUUACUGGGCGUAAAGAGCUCGUAGGCGGUUCAGUUAGUCGGGUGUGAAAACUCUGGGCUCAACCCAGAGACGCCACCCGAUACUGCUGUGACUAGAGUACGGUAGGGGAGGGGGGAAUUCCUGGUGUAGCGGUGAAAUGCGCAGAGAUCAGGAGGAACACCAGUGGCGAAGGCGGCACUCUGGGCCGUAACUGACGCUGAGGAGCGAAAGCGUGGGUAGCAAACAGG
rnacentral:rRNA from 1 species